AUAAAUGCUCUAAAUGACAAUAUUUUGGGGGGGAAUUUGGGAGAAAUGUUGUCAGAAGUUUAUAGAUUAAAACAAAAAUUGUAAUUUUACCCAAACACAUACCUAUAAAUAGUAAAACCAGAGAAACUGAUAAUUUUGCAGUGGUCUCUAAUUCUUUCCAGAGCUGUAUAUCCUUAUAGUCAAAUGCAUUAGGCAUACUUGUUUUCUUUAGAUUUUUUUUUUUUUGGGGGGGGGGGGGUAAAAUUGUACAGUUAAAACGUACAACGGCCAUUGGAUAACACAUAAAAUAAUUAUACAGCACUUUGUGGCCCUUAUUAAACUAUAUUAAUUUGUAUAUGCCAUUUUGACGAGAUUUACUGUAGAGCUUUCUUUGAUAUAGCGCUGUCAGUAGGUGAUGCUCAAACACGACUCCCCUUUCUUUCAUCUGCAUAAAUCUAGAAGUGUCUGAAAUAACAUUCAGGAAGUAAAUCAUUCUGCUGCUUUUAGGAGGGCAACUUUCAGAGCUGCGUGUCUAGCAAAGCAACUUUGUGACAACAACACAAGAUCCUUCAGCGGCACUGGAACCGGGUUGUUCUGACAGGUCUGAGAAGCUUUCAUUACGCUUUGAACUCUGCCUGUCUUAUCUCCUCCAACCCAAUGCAAGGUCCGGAUGCAGCGGUGAUGUUUGUAAUCGACAGAGGGCAUAUGGCGCUUUGAUUUCCUGCAAGUCACUGGUGUUUUUUCUACUGUAUCAUGGUCUGGAGGACCUGCCUGCCUUCCUGCGCCUGAUAGAAUACUUCUGCAUUAACUGACAGAGAAUGAACUGAAAACAUGCUAUGUCAUAUGAGCCUGGUGUUAAACAAAAAUGAGUGACUAUUAAAUGUUUUAAGUCUAUUGCUGUCACCACUUUAUUGUCUCACUUCAAAGUUCAUAAACGAAUAGGCCUAAUCAAUUAUUUAGUCUCUGUAGCCUAAAUGGUAUCUGCUAUAGGCCCAGCAAAUCGUACCAACAUUGCUAUUUAGUUUUUCUUUAUUUGUUCUUACUAAUUGAAUUACAUUGUCGUAUUACGUCUACGUAAUUUCAAAGACAAUACUGGCCUAUACAUAUGUUUUGUUUGUUAAUAAGUUCACCUGUCGAAUGUGAAAUGUUUAUCAAAUGAAUAGGUCUGUCAUGUAUGGACAUUGAAAUUAUGUAUUUUCACUACACUAAUACAACAAUUUCAAUUAUUCUGAAUGGCACGGGCCAGCGGCUGGUUGAAACGUUCUAAAUGUGACACACAGAUAGUCUCGGUCCCACUGGUUGUCUGGCGUGUGAGCUCCAGCUGAAUGCGCUCGCUGCAUGCCUUAUUGUUCUGUGCGUAAUUGGGGUAGAACAGGUAAUCCGCGGUCCCACUGUGCAGACAGGGAACAGACGUAUCUGUUUACUCACUGAGCAUAUUAUAAUAAUGCAGGAAAUACGAAACUCCGGUGGCACCGCAGGCAGACGUGUGCAGUUGUCUGCAGUC
rnacentral:lncRNA from 1 species